GACGUAGGAGGCGAGCGUUGUCCGGAUUCAUUGGGCGUAAAGAGCACGCAGGCGGUUUGGCAAGUCGGAUGUGAAAACCCGAAGCUCAACUUCGGGACUGCAUCCGAAACUGCCCGACUAGAGGUAGGUAGGGGAGAUCGGAAUUCCUGGUGUAGCGGUGAAAUGCGCAGAUAUCAGGAGGAACACCGGUGGCGAAGGCGACUGCCUGGCCUGUUCUUGACGCUGAGGCGCGAAAGCUAGGGGAGCAAACGGG
rnacentral:rRNA from 1 species